rnacentral:rRNA from 1 species
CCAAUAGCGUAUAUUGAAGUUGUUGCAGUUAAAAAGCUCGUAGUUGAAUUUCGGGAUCAGUUGGUCGGUCGUGCCUCGGUACGUACUGGUCAAAUUGAUUCCUACCUUCUGACGAACCACGAUGUCAUUAAUUUGGUGUCGCGGGAAAUCAGGACUGUUACUUUGAAAAAAUUAGAGUGUUUAAAGCAGGCUCGCGCUUGAAUACAUUAGCAUGGAAUAAUGAAAUAGGACGUUUGAUUCUAUUUUGUUGGUUUCUAGGAUCGACGUAAUGAUUAAUAGGGAUAGUUGGGGGCAUUAGUAUUCAAUUGUCAGAGGUGAAAUUCUUGGAUUUAUUGAAGACUAACUACUGCGAAAGCAUUUGCCAAGGAUGUUUUCAUUAAUCAAGAACGAAAGUUAGGGGAUCGAAGACGAUCAGAUACCGUCGUAGUCUUAACCAUAAACUAUGCCGACUAGGGAUCGGAUGAUGUUAAUUUUUUAAUGACUCAUUCGGCGCCUUACG